rnacentral:rRNA from 1 species
GACGAACGCUGGCGGCGUGCCUAAUACAUGCAAGUCGAACGCUGACGGAGGAGCUUGCUUCUCUGGAUGAGUUGCGAACGGGUGAGUAACGCGUAGGUAACCUGCCUGGUAGCGGGGGAAAACUAUUGGAAACGAUAGCUAAUACCGCAUAACAGUAGAUAUCGAAUGAUAUCUACUUGAAAGGUGCAAUUGCAUCACUACCAGAUGGACCUGCGUUGUAUUAGCUAGUUGGUGAGGUAACGGCUCACCAAGGCGAAGAUACAUAGCCGAGCCGAGAAGGGGGACGGGCAACCCGGGACCUGGACCACGCCCAAGCUCCUUCCGGAAGCAGCCGGUGGGGAAUUUUGGCCAUUGACCGAAGUCUUACCCCACCACUGCGCGUUAGUGGAGGAGGGUCUCGGGGCGUUAAACUCCGUUGUUAGGGAAGGACGAGUGUGAGAGUAGAAAGUUCACACUGUGACGGUAUCUGAACAGUAAGGGCCGGCUAACUACGUG